rnacentral:rRNA from 1 species
UGAACGCUGGCGGCAUGCCUUACACAUGCAAGUCGAACGGUAACGCGGGGCAACCUGGCGACGAGUGGCGAACGGGUGAGUAAUGUAUCGGAACGUGCCCAAUAGUGGGGGAUAGCCCGGCGAAAGCCGGAUUAAUACCGCAUGAGACCUGAGGGUGAAAGCGGGGGAUCGCAAGACCUCGCGCUAUUGGAGCGGCCGAUAUCAGAUUAGCUUGUUGGUGAGGUAAAAGCUCACCAAGGCGACGAUCUGUAGCUGGUCUGAGAGGACGACCAGCCACACUGGGACUGAGACACGGCCCAGACUCCUACGGGAGGCAGCAGUGGGGAAUAUUGGACAAUGGGCGCAAGCCUGAUCCAGCAAUGCCGCGUGUGUGAAGAAGGUCUUUGGAUUGUAAAGCACUUUCGGCGGGGACGAUGAUGACGGUACCCGCAGAAGAAGCCCCGGCUAACUUCGCGCCAGCAG